rnacentral:rRNA from 1 species
UACGAAGGGUGCUAGCGUUGUUCGGAAUUACUGGGCGUAAAGCGCGCGUAGGCGGCUUAUCAAGUCAGAGGUGAAAUCCCAAGGCUCAACCUUGGAAUUGCCUUUGAAACUGCUAAGCUAGAGUGUCGGAGGGGAUAGCGGAAUUGCUAAUGUAGAGGUGAAAUUCGUAGAUAUUAGCAGGAACACCGGUGGCGAAGGCGGCUAUCUGGACGACAACUGACGCUGAGGCGCGAAAGCACGGGGAUCAAACAGG